GGAACUAAACUAUUCUUUUAUUCGUAGAGGUCAUGAACUAACCCUACAACUGAAAUAGAUAUUGAAAGAGUAAAUAUUCGCCCGCGAAAGGUUUAUUUUUUGAUUUUAUUGGAUUGAUUCAUUUUGCUCGAUCCGAUAUGGUAAAGGGCAAAACAAAAUAAAGAUUUGUUAUAACGAUAAAAAAAAAAAAAGACAUUGAGAUUAUCUAUAAAUAGAACAUAAAUGUUUCAAUUCUAUAUCUAAACAUGAUAUACAAAUUUAGAAUAGAUUAAUUAGAUGAACUUUCAAAAAAUCCUAUGCUUCAGUAUAUUAUUCAUUAAAUUCCCCUAUAUCUUGAUAAAAUCGUUUUUAGUCCUUUCAUUCGCGAGGAGCUGGAUGAGAAGAAACUCUCAUGUCCAGUUCUGUAGUAGAGAUGGCAUUGAGAAAGAACCAUCAAUUAUAACCCCAAAGAACAAGAUUCCGUAAACAACAUAGAGGAAGAAUGAAAGGGAUAUCUUAUCGAGGUAAUCAUAUUUGUUUCGGCAGAUAUGCUCUUCAAGCACUUGAACCCGCUUGGAUCACAUCUAGACAAAUCGAAGCGGGGCGCCGCGCAAUGACACGAAAUGUACGGCGCGGUGGAAAAAUAUGGGUACGUAUCUUUCCAGACAAACCCGUUACACUAAGACCCACGGAAACCGUAUGGGGUCCGGUAAAGGAUCCCCGAAUAUUGGGUAGCCGUCGUUAAACCGGGUAGAAUACUUUAUGAAAUGAGUGGAGUAGCUGAAAAUAUAGCUCGAAAGGCUAUUUCAAUAGCGGCGUCCAAAAUGCCUAUAAGAACUCAAUUCAUUAUUUCGGGAUAGGAAUGUCGAAACAAAGGAAAUAAAUCUUGGGUAUAAAAAAUGCGGGUCUUCCCUUUUUUUUUUUACUUCGUCCUUUCAGUGCUUUACUUUAAAUUAAACAUUAAAAAAACGGACUCAAAAAACGAUAUGAUUCAACCUCAAACCCAUUUGAAUGUAGCAGACAAUAGCGGUGCCCGAGAAUUGAUGUGUAUUCGAAUCAUAGGAGCCAGUAAUCGUAGAUAUGCUCAUAUUGGUGACGUUAUUGUUGCUGUGAUCAAGGAAGCAGUACCCAAUACGCCUCUAGAAAGAUCAGAAGUGAUCAGAGCUGUAAUUGUACGUACUUGUAAAGAACUCAGACGUGAUAACGGUAUGAUAAUACGGUACGAUGACAAUGCUGCAGUUGUCAUUGAUCACGAAGGAAAUCCAAAGGGAACUCGAGUUUUUGGUGCGAUCGCCCGGGAAUUGAGACAGUUGAAUUUUACUAAAAUAGUUUCAUUAGCACCUGAAGUAUUAUAAGAGGGGACCGCGAUAUAGUGAUAGUAUGAAAAUAAAAUAGAUAAAUCAAAAUUUAGUAGAGUAUGUCUCACGCAUAUACUUUUAAUAAUUUUCAUAAAAAAAGAACAUGUUGAUUAUAUCAAAAUUUGGAAGCAACAAAAUUUUCAGUUUAUCAUGGGCAAGGACACUAUUGCUGACAUAAUAACUUCUAUACGAAAUGCUGACAUGAAUAGAAAGGGAACGGUUCGAAUAGCAUCUACUAACAUCACCGAAAACGUUGUUAAAAUCCUUUUGCGAGAGGGUUUUAUCGAAAACGCAAGGAAACUCGUGGAAAACAAAACAAAAAAGAGUUUUUGGUUUUAACCCUACGACAUCGAAGGAAUAGGAAAGGGCCGUAUAGACCCAUUUUAAAUUUAAAACGAAUCAGUCGACCGGUCUACGAAUCUAUUUUAACUAUCGACGAAUUCCUAGAAUUUUAGAUGGGAUGGGGAUUGUAAUUCUCUCUACUUCUCGGGUAUAAUGACAGACGAGCGGCUCGACUGGAAAGAAUCGGUGGAGAAAUUUUGUGUUAUAUAUGGUAAUUAUUCUGCUAUCCGAAUUGUAUUUGGAGCUUACUUUUAUGUUGUGAGAAAAAAAAAGGGAGGAUUCCUCGAGGUUUAAUUACCGAAUAACUUACCAAAGGUAUGCUCCGGGUUCUUUUAGAUAGUUUAGAGAGCGAAGUAAGAUUCUAGAUUAUGUUUCAGGAGGGAUGCGACCCGUUUUUUCUACAUCUACUCCCGGUGGCUAGAGGCAAAAUUGAAGGAAGUCGUUAUGAUUCAGAUUCAACUGGAGGAUAUAAUAAUAAUAUAUAGACUACACAAAAGGAUUUGAGUGAUUAGGUGAUUUUUCAACAUUCCUUUCAGGGGGAUACAAAUCGCGGUUCAAAAAUUUCAAGAAACUUAUUUUCUUCCAACUUCCAAUAAAGGAGAUUCGAAAUUCAUUUAAGGAAUAACAAUUAUGAAAAUAAGGGCUUCAGUUCGUAAAAUUUGUGAAAAAUGUCGACUGAUCCGCAGGAGGGGACGGAUUAUAGUAAUUUGUUCCAACCCGAGACAUAAACAAAGACAAGGAUAAUCUUUCGAAAAGUUUUAGAAAGUAACCGAUGAACAAAUCAACAUAAAAGAUCGGUUUUGACAUGAAAUGGAUUAUAU
rnacentral:lncRNA from 1 species